GUUGCUGAGUGGUCGAAAGCACCGCACUCGAAAUGCGGCAUACGCGCAACCCUAUCGAUGGCACAGGUACAGUUCACCAAGGUCAGCGAGCUUGUCUCCCAUGCCGAGGGCCA
rnacentral:tRNA from 1 species